AGAGUUUGAUCCUGGCUCAGGAUGAACGCUGGCGGCGUGCCUAAUACAUGCAAGUCGAACGCUUUGUGGUCCAACUGAUUUGAAGAGCUUGCUCAGAUAUGACGAUGGACAUUGCAAAGAGUGGCGAACGGGUGAGUAACACGUGGGAAACCUACCUCUUAGCAGGGGAUAACACUUGGAAACAAGUGCUAAUACCGUAUAACACUAAUAACCGCAUGGUUAUUAGUUAAAAGAUGGUCUUGCUAUCACUAAGAGAUGGUCCCGCGGUGUAUUAGCUAGUUGGUAAGGUAAUGGCUUACCAAGGCAAUGAUACAUAGCCGAGUUGAGAGACUGAUCGGCCACAAUGGGACUGAGACACGGCCCAUACUCCUACGGGAGGCAGCAGUAGGGAAUCUUCCACAAUGGACGAAAGUCUGAUGGAGCAACGCCGCGUGUGUGAUGAAGGGUUUCGGCUCGUAAAACACUGUUGUAAGAGAAGAAUGACAUUGAGAGUAACUGUUCAGUGUGUGACGGUAUCUUACCAGAAAGGAACGGCUAAAUACGUGCCAGCAGCCGCGGUAAUACGUAUGUUCCAAGCGUUAUCCGGAUUUAUUGGGCGUAAAGCGAGCGCAGACGGUUAUUUAAGUCCGAAGUGAAAGCCCACAGCUUAACUGUGGAAGUGCUUUGGAAACUGGAUAACUUGAGUGCAGUAGAGGAGAGUGGAACUCCAUGUGUAGCGGUGAAAUGCGUAGAUAUAUGGAAGAACACCAGUGGCGAAGGCGGCUCUCUGGACUGUAACUGACGUUGAGGCUCGAAAGUGUGGGUAGCAAACAGGAUUAGAUACCCUGGUAGUCCACACCGUAAACGAUGAGUGCUAGAUGUUUGAGGGUUUCCGCCCUUAAGUGUCGCAGCUAACGCAUUAAGCACUCCGCCUGGGGAGUACGACCGCAAGGUUGAAACUCAAAGGAAUUGACGGGGACCCGCAC
rnacentral:rRNA from 1 species